UGUAGAAACCACCCUAUCGAGUGUGAUGAUGCGUAAGGCUUGGAGAAGGUCUGCAAAGCUGACUGUUCCACAGGAUACCUUGGGCAGGGUAAGAGGAAAAGCCUGAUGGUGAAGACCUCACAGAGGAAGCAACAUGACUGAAAACCAAUCCAAACCAAAGCCUGGGUUCAGCAUCCUUUAAGGAUGUCCAGUUAUUAAUACACAUGCUAGAGGUCGGUUACUAGGACCAUAUACAACUCUGGCAGUGCCUUCGGGGACAGCUAGGACUCCAGGCUGGCAGUGGUGCAGGACAACUGUGAAGUGCUUGGGACCUUUCCAAAGCCUCACACAAAUUUGCACCUAGUCACACAGGCGAAUCCGUGCCAGGUGUUCUCACAGGUGCCUGCACUCCAACCCCGUGCCCACCCUGCCCAGUCUUCAGAUUUGGCAGAGAUGAUACCAGGAGCUGGUCUGGGCAUUUCACAGCUUCUGUGCAAACAAUUUCUUGUGACAGACUCCCAGCAAGGCAGAGAAAAUGAGGGGCCAACAAGGAUGUCCUGAAACACACUACGAAAAGAAGGUGGUGCAGAUGGCAUGGAGCUUGGCAUUUUAAUAAUGUCUCUUUGCAGAGUCCACAUAGACAGUGAUCUUUCUGAGGUGAGAGAUUGGGUUUCAGAGGAGAGGAGUUUUUCCCUUUUUCAUGUUGUUUUUAAUUUUCCUUUACUGUGUUAUUUAUUUGUGUUUUAAAGACAACAGAGAGUUAUCAAAUUCAUGGGAUUAUUUACUGGUUUUCCCUCAGUCAGAGUGAAACCUACCUGGCCAGAACUGACUGAUUACUCUUUUUGUGUAAUAUUCCAGUAAAUUCCAAAAUAGUAUCUCAGAGCUUUUAAAUCUAUAUUUUCAAAUAAGGUAUUUACUUCUAGGUCUUUUUCUGUUCUUUGCUUCAUGUGAAUUCAGAGUUGCAUGUGAGGAAACACCAGAUUUUCCCUCAUUUUUAAAGAUCUAUGUGUUUGAAAUUUGAUUCAUGAAAACUGACAUGCCAUUUGGGAGAUCAUGCUGUCAAAAGACCAUCUUCAGCAUCAUUAAUAAGCCACUGCUGGUUGUGAUUGUUUGCCUGAUCAAGUGUGCUGUAUUCAAAUCCUCUGUCAUUACCUACUUUUGUCUGACAGAUUUAUUAGUCUCUGAGAGUGAUAUGUUAAAUUAUAGAGUGUCUAUAGUAUUUAUCUUCCCUAAAAGUGAGUUAUUUAAUUGAAUCGUCACACUUCUCCCAUGUGGUUAUUAUAUGGAACUUUAAUUUGAACGAGUUUUAGUUUCUUGUUUAAAACUAAUUUAGAUACACUAAAUUUUUCCUGUCCUCAUUAUUUCCCUUAUGUCUCUGGGUUCACGUUUCUUCUUCCUGUUGUACAUUCUUUACUGCUUAUUUCACUGGAGGCUUGUAGGAGGUCAAUUUUGAGUCUGUCUAUAUGUUGGAAAAUGUCUUUAUCUCUUUGACAGAUAGUUGGGCUGGGUCUUUAUUUUAGGUUUAAAGUAACUGUGUUUUCUUCUUUGUUGUGUCUCAGCCUACUGUGGGUAAGAUGUUAGGAAAAUUCACAUUCAUUGGCUGAUGUUCGCUUUUUUUUGUCUGUUUCCCUUUUUGUGUUUUUCUUUUUUUUUUGUCUGUUUCCCUCAUGUAGGGUGAUGUCUCCCCCACAUGAGGUGAUGAUUAGCUGUUUGUUUCCUCACAUGACAGACUGCAUGUGAGGUGAUGGUUAGUUUUUGUCUGUUAUCACGAGAGACUACAUGUGAUUUUGUCUGUUAGCUUUUUGUUCCCUCACAUGAGACUAGAUGUGAGUGAUGGUUCCCCAUCACAUGAGAGACUGUAUGUGAUGUUGUCUGUUUUUGUUCCCUCACAUGAGAGACUGCAUGUGAGGUGAUGGUUAACUGAGGGUUAAGAAAAUCCUUGGUUUGGGGUUGAGAGAAUUCUUCCUCGUCUCAUUCCAGGCAGGAGAGAUAUGAGAUGAUGUUGCUUUCUGUUUGUUUCACCCUCAUUAGCAGAUGAACUGAAGAAGUAACUAAAUUGUAUCAGGAUGACGUGACAGGCACGUUGCCAAGCUUUGGAAGGCCUUGACCUGAUAGUCCGAGGCGAGAACAGCAGGUGUUGUUUGUCUAGAUGAACUGGCACUUCAGCUGGAUGAGCAAUAUUUUAUCAUGGUGACUGCUGAACCCUCUUGGAACUGGCCAUUCCCUGAGGGGGAGGCAGGAACAAGAAACUUGGCUCUAAAGUACAUCAAAAGAAAUAUAUACAUAAGACAGACCUCAGUUGGUAUAAAGAAGAUUGCUGUUUCGGGGGAUUGCUGUUUCAGGGCUGCUUUUCAGGGAAGGAUUGUUUCAGGAUCAUCAUUCAACACCAGCAUCAUUAUGUGGAACUUACAGUACAGCUUGCAACAUUGGGCGAUUGCAGUGCGUUGCGACUUAAGCUUACAUGCAGCUUUGCAGCAUUGGGGGACACCCGUUUCCAGCUGCGAACUUGGCGAGGUUGUUUGGUUGGCAGUAGAGAGUUCUUUUGUAGUUGUUCAUUUGGUGUUCAUCAUUGAGCAUUCGUCGUCAUUCUGAUGUUGGCACUGAGAACUUGUAUGCAGCUUACAGCCUGCAGCAUCAGGAGAUGCCCUGACUUCCAGUCGCCGACCUGGUGAGGUCUGGCUGAUUUCCAUCUCUCCAGUGUUGUUUCUUCAUGGUUUUGGUGAGCUUUUGGCAUAUACUGUUACUAGUUAACAUCUAAUAAAAUUUACUAUUGUAUUUGAAUACUCCUUAUUGAUUUCAUUUGUGUAUUUAGCCAAAUUGAUUUUAAGUCUAGUUUUAACUGUUUUCACCUUCUGCAAUUGCCUUUCUUUUGAUUGUCUUGAUUGCCUUUGCCUCUUGCUGUUAGAUACUGCUAACUCAACUGAUUGGAUAUUGCUACCUAAAUUGAUUGGAUAUUGCUACCUAAAUUGAUUGGAUAUUGCAUAAUAAAUAUUGCUAAAUAAAUCAAUUAGUUCCUCCUA